GUGAAAUGUUUUAUUGAAAAUAGAUAGAUAGAUUUGUUGCAUUGUACAGCAGUAAGAACUGCCUUUUACAAUUUUUUUAUCCCAAUUGUACUGCCUCUCUC